rnacentral:lncRNA from 10 species
CCUACAGCAUUUCAGACAAUAUUGUAAUAUCUAAGAAUAGACACAUAGACAACAGAACAGAAUAGAGAGUCCAGAAAUAGAUGUGGCCAGUUGAUUUUUGACAAAGGUACAAAGGCAAUUCAAUGGAGAAAGGAUGGUUUUUCAAUAAUUGAUGCUGAAACAAAUUGACAUACAUAAGUUAAAAAAAAAAAAAAAAGGAGCCUCAGCUGGUGCUGAGGUUAAUGCCUGUAAUCACUUUGGGAGUCUGAGAUGGGAGGAUCACUGGAGCCUGAGAGGUAGAGGCUGCAUUGAACAAUGAUCUUGCCACUGUACUUCAUCCUGGACAACAGAGUAAGACUCUAUCUCAAAAAAACAAACAACAAAAAAGGUACCUGUACUUUACACCUUAUACAAAAAUAAAUUCAAAAUGGAUCACAGAUCAUAGAUCAUAGAUAUAAAAUGUAAAAUGACAAAACUGUUAGAAAAUCAGAGAGGAGAGUAGCUUGUGACCUUAUGUUAAGCAAAAAGUUUUUAGUUAUGAGAUCAAUAGCCACAUCCAUAUCAGAAUAAUUGAUAUAUUGAAUUUCAUCAAAAUUCAAAACUUUUGCUAUGCAAAAAAACACGAAAAGACAAGCUAGUAAAUGGGAGAAAGUAUUUGGAAAUCACAUAUCCAACGAUGGACUUGUAUCCAAAAUAUGCGAACAACUCUGAAAAUGCAACAGAAAUAAAAGAAUCCAAUUUCAAAAUGAGCAAAAGGUUUGAACAGACACUUUGCAAAAUGGAUGGCAAAAAAAGAACAUGAAAAGGUGCUGAACAUCACUGGCAAUUUGAGAAAUGCAAGUUAAAACCACAAUGAGAACGGAGCAGGGAGCAGGGGCAGGGUCUGGUGCGGGGUGGGAAGGGCAAGGACUGUCAAUACCAAGUGCUGACAAGGAUAUGGAGCAACAGAAAUUCUCAUACCUUCAUGGUGUGAAAGCAAAAUGAUACAGCCACUCUGGAAAACAGUUUAACAAUUUCUCGUUUCUUUUCUUUCUUUUUUUUUUUUUUUUUAAUAUAAGAGACAAUGUCUUGCUCUUUUGCCCAGGCCCAGGUACAGAGGCAUAAUCAUCACUCACUGAAGCCUCAAACUCCAGGGUUCAAGUGAUCCUACCACUUUAGCCUCCGGAGUAUCUGGGAUUACAUGUACAAACUACCAUGCCCGGCUAACAAUUUCUUUUAAAUGUAAAGAUGAAUUUACCCAAAGGACCCAGCAAUCUCACUCCUUUAAUAUUUACUUUAGAUAAAUGAAAACUUGUGUUCACAUAAAAACUCAUACAAAAAAAGUUUAUAACUUAAUGUCCCUGAACUUUACACUUAAAAAUGGUUAACUUUAAUGUUAUAUAUAUUUUACUUCAAUAAAAGAAAAAAAACACACCUCUGCUUUCUGAAAGGAAAAAAAUGUUUAUAACAGCUCUAUUUAUAAUUGCCCAAAACUGAAAGCAACCCAAAUGUCCUUGAACAGUGAAUGGAUAAACCACCUAUGGUACAUCCAUACCACAGGACACUACUCAGUGAUGAAAAAGAACUAUUAAUGCACCUAACAACUGGGAUGAAUUUUAAAGGCACCAUGUUGAGUGAAGACAGGUAACCGGAAAACAUUACGUAAUAUGUGAUUUUAUUUAUGUGACAUUUUGCAGAAGGCAAAAUUAUGGGGAUUGAAAACAGCUCAUUAAUUGCUAGAAGUGGGGCAGUUUUGACUACAAAGGGGUAGUGCAAGAGUUUCUGGGGGUGAUGACACUGUUCUGUAUCCUGAUUGUAGUGUUGCCUACGUGAAGCUAUGCAUGUGAUAAAACUCAUAGAACUUUACACCAGAAAAGGUCAAAUUUAUGGUACAUUAAUCUAAAAUUAGUAAUUAAUAAAAUGGAAAUAAUUAUCAAACCCAUCAUCUUUUUAACAACAGCCACUCCUGCCACCAAAUACACAAACAAAAACCAGAGACACACCAUUCCCCUGUCCCUGCAUUCCAUAAUGAUUAACGGAGGCCACUCGAUAGCUACCACUUAGUCCUCAUUCUUCCCUACCAUUUUGGCUUAAGUGCAUCAGGUUCUGUUGAUAGUAGCAUCUGAAAUGUCUCUUGAAUGGUUUCUCUCUUUGCUAAUCCUAACAUGACUUCUCCAGUUCUAUAGUCUAAGAACUCUGGUUUGGAUUAUUUUUGUAGCCUCCAAAAUGGUUUCCCCAAUCUGUUUCAAUUCAUCCUUUGAAUUUUCACCAGAUCUCUACAUGACCAUCUUUUGCUUAAAACAAAAAGAAAUCCUCCAACGAUCUGCCAUCAUCUCCAAGAUAAAGUGUAAACUUUACUUCCAAUUUUCUCCACAUCGAUCUUUUUACACCUCCUGAAGUAGGCUGCCCUUUCUCACGUCCCCGCCUUUAAUUAAGUUGUUCCCUCCUCUUAGCUUUCCUUUUUCAUUUGAAAACAUCCUUUAAAGUCUCAUCCAAAUAUUCCUAGGCAGCAUUUUUCACACUCCCCAACUCCCCUCCCUUUAGUCCCCUAGCACUUUUUCCAUCCUUCUGGUGGAGAACUCAGCAGGUUUGGGGGCUGCAAUGUUCCAGUCCACUUCCCCACAAAAUGGUCAGCUGCUCGAGGACAGGGACUGUGUCUCAUCUAUUUCCAAUGCCAAACACAGUGCCUGGCACUGAGUGGGGGUGCUCAGAUCGCAUUUGUUGAAAUAAAAAUUAGAAUAACUGCUAUCAACUUAGUAAAAUGUCACCUGGACUUUCAAUUUUUCACUCCACAGUCCUGGUGUCCUGGAGAAACAGCUUCAGUCAUUAGUGCAUUUUUACCCAUUUGUUAAGAAGUUCUUAUUGGGAGUUUACUCUGUGCAGGGUACCAAAGGCUGGGGGUGAGGGGGCGGGUAUACAAGAGUGGGAAAGGACAGAUGCAUACACUGAAGGAACCUAAUGAUGUUCAGACAAGAUUAAUGCCCCAGAUCUUGACUCCUUUUAAUAUUUAUUCUAAUACCAUUUUUCUUCUUUAAUAGAAUAUGAGAGUCAUUCCGAUUUCAAUAAUUCAGAAUAUAUUCCUGACUUGAAUAUGGGUUAGUCCUCUAACUACAUUUACUGUCCUUCUGGAAUAAUUUCUUGCUUUCUGAUUUGGGCCUUCAUUAGUUGUCUUUUUUUCUUUUUAAUCAGUUCUUCUCCUCACCCACAAUUUUUCUUUCACUACAUUAUUAAAUCUGUCUCCUUUAAAAAUGUUUUUGGAUUUCAAGUAUGAGAUACAUGGUUUAAUCUCGAAAGAUUUUGUUUUUAAUGUUGUCAUUCAAAUUUUUAGAAAAAUCAAAAGAGAAAGAGUAUUAUCCCUGAAAGCCUAAAUGAUAGAAUCAACCUAUGCUCUCUACACCCGCUGUCCGGGAUUCAAGCAACACAUUACUGCAGGGCUUGGCAACUUUAUAAGUAUUUGGAGAUAAAACUGCCUGAUCACUUUUGUAAAAGGAGCUUUUAAUUUGUAAAAGCAGUAAUAAACUCUCAUUUUAAGAAAGAGACUAUAAUCUUAGGCUUUGUUUUAAAAAUGUAUUAUAUUGAACAGUGGCCUAAGCUUUUGUGAUCCUGUACACCUAACAGUAAAAUGUUUUGAGCCUGCACAAAUAUAUGUAUUUUUACUCAUUUAUAAAUUAUAUAUGUAUACAUAAACAACUAUACUAAUGUACUGAUAUGUAUAUGUACAACUGUGCUGAUGUGAGCAUCACAAUGCAUGCAUUUAACAUUAAAUUUUAAAGAAUGAGAUUAAAGGUCAGGUAUAGUGGCUCACACCUGUAAUCCCAACAGUUUGGAAGGCCAAGGCAGGAGGAUCACUUGAGGCUAGGAGUUCAAGACCAGCCCGGGCAACACAGUGAGACCCCCCCCCAUCUCUAUUAAAAAAUAAAAAAUUAGCCAGACUAUUUAGAGGACUAUGGUGAGAGGAUCACUUGAGCCCAGGAGUUGUUUUUUUUUUUGGGGGGGGGGGUUGUUUUUUUUUUGUUUUGAGAUGGAAUCUCAUUCUGUUGCACAGGCUGGAGUA